UUCAGAGGGGGACAACAGUUGGAAACGACUGCUAAUACCGCAUACGAUCUAAUCUCGGCAUCGAGGAUGGAUGAAAGGUGGCCUCUAUUUAUAAGCUAUCACUGAAGGAGGGGAUUGCGUCUGAUUAGCUAGUUGGAGGGGUAACGGCCCACCAAGGCAAUGAUCAGUAGCCGGUCUGAGAGGAUGAACGGCCACAUUGGGACUGAGACACGGCCCAAACUCCUACGGGAGGCAGCAUG
rnacentral:rRNA from 1 species